UACGUAGGGGGCAAGCGUUGUCCGGAUUUAUUGGGCGUAAAGAGCUCGUAGGUGGUUCGGUAAGUCGGAUGUGAAAUCUCCAGGCUCAACCUGGAGGGGUCAUUCGAUACUGCCGUGACUAGAGUUCGGUAGGGGAGUGUGGAAUUCCUGGUGUAGCGGUGAAAUGCGCAGAUAUCAGGAGGAACACCAAUGGCGAAGGCAGCUCGCUGGGACGGUACUGAUGCUGAGACGCGAAAGCGUGGGGAGCAAACAGG
rnacentral:rRNA from 1 species